rnacentral:snoRNA from 1 species
AACCCAAGGUGAGGGCAUCUUCUCAAAAGGUCCUUGUAUCUCUCCCAUGCAUCGUUGAGUGUUUCUAAACCCAUCUGCACAAAGGAAGAAAUAUCAUUACGCAAUUU